rfam:Candidatus Roizmanbacteria bacterium RIFCSPLOWO2_01_FTLL_42_14 rifcsplowo2_01_scaffold_5137, whole genome shotgun sequence.
GCUCAGUCCGGUUAGAGCGCAGCCCUGUCAAGGCUGAGGUCGCGGGUUCGAGUCCCGUCGGUCCCG